CACCGGCGGCUCGAGUGGUGGCCACUUUUAUUGGGUCUAAAGCGUCCGUAGCCGGCUUGGCAAGUCCCCUGGGAAAUCUGGCGGCUUAACCGUCAGGCGUCCAGAGGAUACUGCCAGGCUCGGGACCGGGAGAGGUGAGAGGUACCUCAGGGGUAGGGGUGAAAUCUUGUGAUCCCUGAGGGACCACCAGUGGCGAAGGCGUCUCACUAGAACGGGUCCGACGGUCAGGGACGAAAGCUGGGGGCACGAACCGG
rnacentral:rRNA from 1 species